UACAGGGGGUGCAAACGUUGCUCGGAAUUAUUGGGCGUAAAGCGCGCGUAGGCGGCUACUUAAGUCGGAUGUGAAAGCCCUUGGCUCAACUGAGGAAGUGCACCCGAAACUGAGUGGCUUGAGUACUAAAGAGGGUCGCGGAAUUCCCGGUGUAGAGGUGAAAUUCGUAGAUAUCGGGAGGAACACCGGUGGCGAAGGCGGCGACCUGGGUAGAUACUGACGCUGAGGCGCGAAAGCGUGGGGGAGCAAACAGG
rnacentral:rRNA from 1 species